rnacentral:rRNA from 1 species
AAUUCCUCGUGUUGCAUUCCCC